GCCCGGCUAGCUCAAUCGGUAGAGCGUGAGACUCUUAAGGAGAACUCCGUAAUCUCAAGGUUGUGGGUUCGACCCCCACGUCGGGCU
rnacentral:tRNA from 1 species